rnacentral:rRNA from 1 species
AUUGAACGCUGGCGGCAGGCCUAACACAUGCAAGUCGAACGAGUGGCGGACGGGUGAGUAAUGUAUGGGGAUCUGCCUGAUGGAGGGGGAUAACUACUGGAAACGGUAGCUAAUACCGCAUACUAUCGGAUGCACCCAGAUGGGAUUAGCUAGUAGGUGGGGUAACGGCUCACCUAGGCGACGAUCCCUAGCUGGUCUGAGAGGAUGACCAGCCACACUGGAACUGAGACACGGUCCAGACUCCUACGGGAGGCAGCAGUGGGGAAUAUUGCACGAUGGGCGCAAGCCUGAUGCAGCCAUGCCGCGUGUAUGAAGAAGGCCUUCGGGUUGUAAAGUACUUUCAGCGGGGAGGCGUUACCCGCAGAAGAAGCACCGGCUAACUCCGUGCCAGCAGCCGCGGUAAUUC